CAGCCGCCGCGGUAAUACGGAGGGAGCUAGCGUUAUUCGGAAUUACUGGGCGUAAAGCGCACGUAGGCGGCUUUGUAAGUUAGAGGUGAAAGCCUGGAGCUCAACUCCAGAAUUGCCUUUAAGACUGCAUCGCUUGAAUCCAGGAGAGGUGAGUGGAACUCCGGGUGUAGAGGUGAAAUUCGUAGAUAUUCGGAAGAACACCAGUGGCGAAGGCGGCUCACUGGACUGGUAUUAACGCAGAGGUGCGAAAGCGUGGGGAGCAAACAGGAUUAGAUACCCGCGUAGUCCCUGUCUCUUAUAA
rnacentral:rRNA from 1 species